CGCGUCGUCAGGGGCUCCAGCGGCUACGCGCUGCCCGGCACCCUCACCGUCGUCAUGGGCCCCGCCCGCUCCGGCAAAUCCACCCUCCUCCGAGCCAUAGCAGGGAGGCUGCGUGGCGCGGAGCGGAUGUACGGCGAGGUCUUCGUCAAUGGCGUCAAGUCACCCUUGCCAUAUGGAUCAUAUGGGUAUGUUGACCGGGACGAUGUGCUAAUCGAAUCUCUCACAGUACGGGAGAUGCUCUACUACUCGGCGCUCUUGCAGCUCCCCAGCGUCUUCUCUUCGAAGAAGUCAUUUGUGGAAGAUGCUAUCGCGGCCAUGUCGUUGGGUGACUAUGCUGACAAACUCAUUGGUGGACACUGCUUCACAAAGAGGCUUCCGACUGGCGAGAGGAGGCGGGUCAGCAUUGCAAGAGAGCUUGUGAUGAGGCCACAUGUUUUGUUCAUCGAUGAGCCUCUGUACCACCUUGACAGUGUUUCUGCACUCCUCUUGAUGGUAACACUGAAGAAACUUGCCAGCACUGGGUGCACAGUCAUCUUCACAAUGUAUCAAAGUAGCACGGAGGUUUUUGGACUUUUCGAUCGGAUUUGCUUGCUUUCAAAUGGGAAUACCCUCUUCUUUGGGGAAACAUUGGCUUGCCUGCAGCACUUCUCAAAUGCUGGGUUUCCAUGCCCAAUCAUGCAAAGUCCAUCUGACCACUUUUUGAGGGCAAUCAAUACCGACUUUGACAGAAUCAUAGCCAUGUGCAAGAAUCUGCAGGAUGAUCAAGGGGAUUUCUCAUCAGUGAGCAUGGACACUGCUGUGGCAAUCCGGACACUAGAAGCAAUGUACAAAUCAUCGGCUGAAGCUGCCUCUGUUGAAUCGAUGAUUGCAAAAUUGAUUGAGAAGGAAGGUCCUUACUUGAAAAGUAAAGGCAGAGCCAGUGAUGCAGCAAGAAUUGGGAUUCUCACUUGGAGAUCAUUGCUAAUUAUGUCAAGAGACUGGAAGUACUUCUGGAGCAGGCUUAUCUUGUAUAUGCUGCUUGCCCUCUCAAUCGGCACCAUAUUUAUCGACAUUGGUCAUUCAUUGUCAUCUGUAGUGGUUAGGAUUUCUGCGAUAUUUGUGUUUGUUUCAUUUCUCGUCCUUCUGAGUGUUUGUGGAGUACCUGCUCAUAUUGAUGAGAUGAAGAUAUAUUCCCAUGAGGAUUCAAAUCGGCAUUCCGGGACAUUGGUUUUCCUGCUGGGCCACUUCCUAUCCAGCAUCCCCUUCCUAUUUCUGGUGUCCAUUUCGUCGUCGUUGAUUUUCUACUUCCUGAUAGGCCUCAGGAACGAGUUUAGCUUCCUUAUGUACUUUAUAAUCACCAUCUUCAUGUGUCUGUUGGCGAAUGAAGCACUUAUGAUGAUUGUUGCGUACAUCUGGCUUGAAACUUACAAGUGCACCUUAACCCUGAUUUGCUUAUAUGUUGUCAUGAUGCUGGUGGCUGGGUAUUUUCGGAUCCGAGACGCAAUACCAGCGCCUGUGUGGAACUAUCCGCUGUCCUACAUUUCAUUCCACACGUACGCCGUGCAGGGCUUGGUCGAGAACGAGUAUGUCGAUACAUCAUUUGCAGUCGGGGCCACAAGGACGAUACCCGGCGUGCAGGCUGUCCGAGGCUCGUAUGGCAUAUCAUCGUCGACAGGUGCCAAGUGGAUGAAUCUCCUUGUUUUGUUCCUGAUGGCGAUCGGCUACCGGGUCAUCUUGUAUGUUUUGCUUCGUCUAGAUGUGAGGAGACAUGUGAGACUCGGCAAGCGCUCCUGCUGGCCCAGCAUCCACACUAGUGCAGCUCCAAAGUGA
rnacentral:rRNA from 1 species